GCUUAACACAUGCAAGUCGAGGGGCAGCGGGGAGGAAGCUUGCUUUCUCCGCCGGCGACCGGCGCACGGGUGAGUAACACGUAUGCAACCUGCCCCUGUCAGGGGGACAACCCGCCGAAAGGCGGGCUAAACCCGCGUACAUGCCACCGGGGCAUCCCGGAGGCAGGAAAGGCUUCGGCCGGACAGGGAUGGGCAUGCGGCGCAUUAGGCAGUAGGCGGGGUAACGGCCCACCUAACCGACGAUGCGUAGGGGUUCUGAGAGGAAGGUCCCCCACACUGGUACUGAGACACGGACCAGACUCCUACGGGAGGCAGCAGUGAGGAAUAUUGGUCAAUGGUCGGGAGACUGAACCAGCCAAGCCGCGUGAGGGAUGAAGGUACAGAGUAUCGUAAACCUCUUUUGUCAGGGAACAAAGGCGGGGACGUGUCCCCGGAUGAGUGUACCUGAAGAAAAAGCAUCGGCUAACUCCGUGCCAGCAGCCGCGGUAAUACGGAGGAUGCGAGCGUUAUCCGGAUUUAUUGGGUUUAAAGGGUGCGCAGGCGGUCUGUUAAGUCAGCGGUCAAAGCCCGGGGCUCAACCCCGGCCCGCCGUUGAAACUGGCAGUCUCGAGUUGGAGAGAAGUAUGCGGAAUGCGCGGUGUAGCGGUGAAAUGCAUAGAUAUCGCGCAGAACUCCGAUUGCGAAGGCAGCAUGCCGGCUCCACACUGACGCUGAGGCACGAAAGCGUGGGUAUCGAACAGGAUUAGAUACCCUGGUAGUCCACGCAGUAAACGAUGAAUGCUGGCUGUCCGGGGGGGAUUGACCCCUGGGUGGCGAAGCGAAAGCGAUAAGCAUUCCACCUGGGGAGUACGCCGGCAACGGUGAAACUCAAAGGAAUUGACGGGGGCACGCACAAGCGGAGGAACAUGUGGUUUAAUUCGAUGAUACGCGAGGAACCUUACCCGGGCUCAAACGGGGAGUGACUCAGGCAGAGACGCCUGUUUCCCACGGGACACUCCCCGAGGUGCUGCAUGGUUGUCGUCAGCUCGUGCCGUGAGGUGUCGGCUUAAGUGCCAUAACGAGCGCAACCCCCGCGUGCAGUUGCUAACAGAUAACGCUGAGGACUCUGCACGGACUGCCGGCGCAAGCCGCGAGGAAGGCGGGGAUGACGUCAAAUCAGCACGGCCCUUACGUCCGGGGCGACACACGUGUUACAAUGGGUGGUACAGCGGGAAGCCAGGCGGCGACGCCGAGCGGAACCCGAAAUCCACUCUCAGUUCGGAUCGGAGUCUGCAACCCGACUCCGUGAAGCUGGAUUCGCUAGUAAUCGCGCAUCAGCCAUGGCGCGGUGAAUACGUUCCCGGGCCUUGUACACACCGCCCGUCAAGCCAUGGGAGCCGAGGGCGCUUGAAGU
rnacentral:rRNA from 1 species